rnacentral:rRNA from 1 species
CGGGACGGGUGAGUAACGCGUGGAUAACCUGCCUCACACUGGGGGAUAACAGUUAGAAAUGGCUGCUAAUACCGCAUAAGCGCACAGUACCGCAUGGUACGGUGUGAAAACCCAGGUGGUGUGAGAUGGAUCCGCGUCUGAUUAGCCAGUUGGCGGGGUAACGGCCCACCAAAGCGACGAUCAGUAGCCGACCUGAGAGGGUGACCGGCCACAUUGGGACUGAGACACGGCCCAA